GAGCGCAACCCUUGUCCUUAGUUACCAGCACGUUAUGGUGGGCACUCUAAGGAGACGUGCCGGUGACAAACCGGAGGAAGGUGGGGAUGACGUCAAGUCAUCAUGGCCCUUACGGCCUGGGCUACACACGUGCUACAAUGGUCGGUACAAAGGGUUGCCAAGCCGCGAGGUGGAGCUAAUCCCAUAAAACCGAUCGUAGUCCGGAUCGCAGUCUGCAACUCGACUGCGUGAAGUCGGAAUCGCUAGUAAUCGUGAAUCAGAAUGUCACGGUGAAUACGUUCCCGGGCCUU
rnacentral:rRNA from 1 species